rnacentral:sRNA from 1 species
AGCAGCCGCGGUAAUUCCAGCUCCAAUAGCGUAUAUUAAAGUUGUUGCAGUUAAAAAGCUCGUAGUUGAAUUUCGGGGUUAGUAGGUUGGUCAUGCCUCUGGUAUGUACUGGUCUCACUGAUUCCUCCUUCCUUAUGAACCGUAAUGCCAUUAAUUUGGUGUUGCGGGGAAUUUGGACUGUUACUUUGAAAAAUUAGAGUGUUUAAAGCAAGCUAACGCUUGAAUACAUUAGCAUGGAAUAAUGAAAUAGGACGUUCGAUCUUAUUUUGUUGGUUUCUAGGAUUGACGUAAUGAUUAAUAGGGAUAGUUGGGGGCAUUAGUAUUCAAUUGUCAGAGGUGAAAUUCUUGGAUUUAUUGAAGACUAACUACUGCGAAAGCAUUUGCCAAGGGUGUUUUCAUUAAUCAAGAACGAAAGUUAGGGGAUCGAAGACGAUCAGAU